CAAUCUGCGGGUACAGUGAGGUAACCUAAUGUGGGUAGGCCAGCCCCACAGGAAGCUGUUCACUGAAUGAGCAGAGCUGGGAAAUACUUCCAUGUGGACGUAUCUGACAAGUGCAGAGAUCAGUGAUGCCCUUUUCAAGUUCUGAAGAAGUCUACUGCAAGCAGCAAGCAGAUAGUACUCUUGGCUACUUUGGGCUACAGAAUAACUUUGAUUUUUCCAGCCUCUACUGCCUUCGUUUCUGAGCUGUGAUUUCACCAGUUGUCUUCAAUGCCUGGGUCUUUUAGAUUACUUCAGCAAUGAUGGGAAACUGAAAAGUUCUAGAGAGCUGUGAGAUGGUGAAAACUUGUUCACAGAAAGCGAAUAGGUAUCCAAGGGACAACAUGGACUUGCAAGAGAUACAAAACAAAACAAGAACACAGAUGGAAUGCAUCAACUGUGCUCCUACUCAGCCAUGCCAAGGCUAGAGGAGAGGAAAGGAAGAGAGAGCCAAAUGAAAAAUCCUGAAUGACAACAUCUCCAAGUAUCACAGCAGUACCUUCUAAAGCUGGAAGAUAAAGCUGAUGAGGUGGUUACCAUGGCUACAGAAGCGGCAUAUUUGAAUGAAAAUUGAUUUUAAGCUUUUAAAUGCUAAUUGCAUCUGUGAAAAGGUGACAUUUGAAAUAUCUUUUUCUUCUCCCCCUCCCCUCCCCUGCUUUGCAUUGUACAACGAGUGAAAGAAGAGGGUGACAAAGGUGACAACACAGAGUUAAGUUGAAACACUGAUGCAGUCUUCAACACUAAAGUAUGUCACACCAUUUGCUUGUGUAGUAAUAAAAGUAAUAAGCGAACACAUAUAUGGAUCACAGUAUCUGAGGAGCAAAAACUGUAUCUAUAACCCAAGUAAUACAUUUUUCAUCAUAUUGUGAAAAAUUAAACAGCCUUAUUUAAAUUAAUCAUCAGACCAAUUUUUUUCUGGUAGCUCAUAAUAAAGAGGCUAUUAAAACUUAGCAUUCAGAAACUAUUAUAAAUUCUCAGUGACGAGGAAAUUUCGCAAAUGCCUGAAAUUAGAAGCAUUUCUUAUUUCAUUUCAUACAUCAGGAAGUAAACUUGAACUUCUACACAGCGGUAGACUCAGGCCGGAGGGCAAAGGUGCUGUACAGACCAGUGUCACUGUGCAACUACUGCUAAUUGCUGUCACACCACCGUCUGGCCAUGCUUAGGCUUUAGUUGUAGAAGACAUAGAGGGUGUAAUUUACCUAGCUGUAAGCAUAGGUUUAAUAUGAUCUCAAAGCUUUUUAACUUGCAGUGGGUUGUUACAUCCCACUUGUUAGCGCUUGCUUUUUGAAACACUC